rnacentral:sRNA from 1 species
GUAGCCGGGGCCCCGCCCCUCCUCGGACUCUGACGGGUAGUGAACUCGGGGCCGCCGGGCUCCAGAGUCCCUCGGGUCUCAGGUCAUGGCGAUCCCGGGGCCCGCGCCCGGAGCUGGCGCCAGGCCCAGGUUAGAUCUGCAAUUUCUCCAGCGGUUCCUGCAGAUACUGAAGGUUUUGUUUCCUUCUUGGUCGUCACAGAAUGCCUUGAUGUUCCUGACCCUUUUGUGCCUGACCCUCCUGGAGCAAUUUGUGAUCUACCGGGUUGGCUUGAUCCCCAGUCAGUACUAUGGGGUCCUGGGAAACAAAGACUUGGAAGGGUUUAAGACUCUGACAUUCCUGGCUGUCAUGCUCAUUGUUCUGAACUCCACGAGCCCCACGGUGGCCAGCGGCAGAGCCAGCAGACACAGCGUUUCUCCUUGAGCGGGUCUCCAUCUCUGCCCCCUCCUCUGACAAACCCCUCAUCAAGGAUCUGAGCCUAAAGAUCUCUGACGGACAGAGCCUGCUCAUCACAGGCAACACAGG